rnacentral:rRNA from 1 species
UACGUAGGGUGCGAGCGUUGUCCGGAAUUAUUGGGCGUAAAGAGCUCGUAGGCGGUGUGUCACGUCGGCCGUGAAAACCUGCAGCUUAACUGUGGGCGUGCGGUCGAUACGGGCAUCACUGGAGUUCGGCAGGGGAGACUGGAAUUCCUGGUGUAGCGGUGAAAUGCGCAGAUAUCAGGAGGAACACCGGUGGCGAAGGCGGGUCUCUGGGCAGUAACUGACGCUGAGGAGCGAAAGCGUGGGGAGCAAACGGG